rnacentral:lncRNA from 1 species
CAGUGGAAUUCAUGGCUUGGUGAACUUGUUUGUUUUUGUUCUGUUCAUGGUAGAGAGCUCUUCCACAACUCUUGCACAAAACAGAAAAUCCUUUAUGGCAGGCCAGAUGAAGACUUCAGUCAGGUUUAAAAAGGCAGGAAGAUAGUGUUUUACGUUACUGAAAGACCUAGAAAAGAAUCUAUUGCAGAAAAACAUCAUCAUGCCGUCCUGUGUUAUUUCCGACAGAUGGCAGCGCGAUGCGUUCCAGAUUGAUUUCAAACACACAAGAGAGAAAUAUAUGCGGAAGGAAGAAUGAAGUAUGAUGAAUUCAAGACAAACCUUGCAAGCAUGACACCAUCGCAGCGACCCUGACACAAGCAUAAUUAAACAAAUUAGAAAUAAGCUGACAUGUUUAUAAUCAUAUCCACAUGUACAACGUAUAUGGGGUUAUAUUGGAGUCACGUAUGUCCACCAGUCCGUUCGUCCGUCCGUCCAUCGUGUCCGCUUUUAUGAAACUGACAUCAAUUACUAAUCUCAUGAAUACGGUGUAAAGAGCUCAUAACCAAUGUCACUAGGUCUAAAGUUACGGCUACCCUUUGAGGUCAAGUCAUAAAGUUUCACUUCAUGUCCGCUCCAUAUUGUCUAAAUGGCUUGAAGUGUACUUAGUUCGACUAUAUAAAGAUUUAGAAUAAAGAGAAUUAUUGUACUUGCCUUUGCGUCAAUGUUACAAUUUUAUGGCAAUCUUGUGUAACUAUAUAUUCUGUACUACUUCCCCUUUUAACUUUAAACUUUACGUAAGUUUUAGUCUUGGCAAGGGACAGACAUCUCUGGCUUUCUAAACGUCAAUGUCACUGGGUCAAACAUUGACAGUGCUGGUUAAAGUUUUGUGACAAACUUCUCAGUUGCACUAUAUCCUUUCACCCACUGCCCUAUAAUCACCAAACCUUACAUAAGGAUUGAUCUUAAGAAGGGGCAAAAGUCUUUAGGUUUAAGAUCAGGUAGGUCAAAGGUCAAUGGCACUCGGGUCAGAUUUUGUAAUAAUGUUCCUUAAAGUUUUAUGGCACGCUUCAAAAUUUGACUGAACAAACUCGAUCAAACCGAGUCUGCAAUUUUCACUGUUUGCUUUGUUCCCGGUGCUUCCGAGGGAUCUACUUUCCAGAUUUUAUAACUCAUAUUGUUUCUCUGCACUGGUAUGUCCCACACUUUUAAGCCCUACCUAUACACUCUAUACACCAGUCCCGACACCUAGCAACAGAUACAUUCCUCACAAACUUAUAUUUCACGUUCAUCUUAUCUCUUUUACCCACCUGCCUUCACCUACUUCCUACAAAACCAUUUUACCACCUCUCGCCGAAAACAACAAUUUAUUUUAUAUUUUCUUUAAAAUUAAUUAGAUUGUAAAUUAAUGUAUAUCUUGUAUAUCAUAUGUUUUUAUGAUGUUUAAGUAUCCCUUAUUCCCACACUUCUACUCCCAACCCCACUCGCUUCAAUUUUUUCUUGUAUAUUUUCUACAUCUCACACACAUCACAUCUCAUCUUCCAUCUCCUUUUCUAUAGCAACACCCUCUCUUUGUAUUGCUUUUACAUCUUUCAUACUUGCUUGUAUUUCAUUUGGACUGUUUUCACCCCUCAUAGCCCUUAUCCCUCCCUACACACACUGCUACCACUAACCCUUUUCUUACAUUUCUGACACUGGCUUAUACCUCAUAUUGUUUUUUUAGAUUUGCUCACACCCCUAGCAUCAGCACCCCCUCCCCCUCAACGUAGAUCACUAGGUCCUAGGGCGAAGUCACACUUGAAGGUCAAAAGUCAUUGUGACAAAAUUUUACAUUCCGUUUUCCAAAGCGACCUCUUGGGCAUUAUCACUUUUAUUGAUAGCUUAAAUUGCUAAUGUUUAAACGUUUUAAAUGUAUAACAUUAGCUGAACUGUAUUAUGUAUUUGUUAAAUGUAAGUUAAAUUCUAGGAUAAAUAGUUUCUGUAAAAUUGAGGCAUAAAUAUAAUUUUAGAUCGGUGAUACAGUCGAACUAUUUUAGACGAGUCAAAUAUUUCUAGUUUGGUUUGUUACUGUCUUGAGAUAUCUUUAGUUUUAUCGCAUUAUAUUUAAAAAAUACAUUUAUAAAGACAAUGUUCACAUUUGACUAAGAUACAUAAAGUAUCAGGGUCACCCAGUAUUUGUAAGAAACUAUCUAGAAUAAUGCCGAUUUGGUAAAUUAUUUCAAAAGCAUUUCAAAUAUAACUUAUUUUUAAACUGAACAGGUAUAGUUUUUAAAGAUAAAUAAAUAUGCGCGGAUCAGUUCAUGCACAAAAAUACAAGAAUUUGGGACCGGAGUUUAAGUUUUUGUUUGUUUGUUUGUUUCAGUAUUAGGUCGAAAUACAAUCAAUUCUAGAUGCAUCUUCUGGAAAUGUAAACUCUAGUGUUCACGCGUAAAAAAAUUCAGUUUUACAAAUAAUUUUUUUUAUUUAUUUUCUUGCACAAUUUAUCAAUGUAGGUCACA